GACGAACGCUGGCGGCGUGCCUAAUACAUGCAAGUCGAGCGAAGUUUUUCUGGUGCUUGCACCGGAAAAACUUAGCGGCGAACGGGUGAGUAACACGUAAAGAACCUGCCUCAUAGACUGGGACAACUAUUGGAAACGAUAGCUAAUACCGGAUAACAGCAUUAACUGCAUGGUUGAUGUUUAAAAGUUGGUUUUGCUAACACUAUGAGAUGGCUUUGCGGUGCAUUAGCUAGUUGGUGGGGUAAAGGCCUACCAAGGCGACGAUGCAUAGCCGACCUGAGAGGGUGAUCGGCCACACUGGAACUGAGACACGGCCCAGACUCCUACGGGAGGCAGCAGUAGGGAAUCUUCCGCAAUGGGCGAAAGCCUGACGGAGCAACGCCGCGUGAGUGAAGAAGGAUUUCGGUUCGUAAAGCUCUGUUGUUAGGGAAGAAUGAUUGUGUAGUAACUAUACACAGUAGAGACGGUACCUAACCAGAAAGCCACGGCUAACUACGUG
rnacentral:rRNA from 1 species